rnacentral:rRNA from 1 species
AGCGAACGCUGGCGGCAGGCCUAACACAUGCAAGUCGAACGAAGUCUUCGGACUUAGUGGCGGACGGGUGAGUAACACGUGGGAACGUGCCUUUAGGUUCGGAAUAACUCAGGGAAACUUGUGCUAAUACCGAAUGUGCCCUUCGGGGGAAAGAUUUAUCGCCUUUAGAGUGGCCCGCGUCUGAUUAGCUAGUUGGUGAGGUAAAGGCUCACCAAGGUUACGAUCAGUAGCUGGUGUGAGAGGAUGACCAGCCACAUUGGGACUGAGACACGGCCCAAACUCCUACGGAAGGCAGCAGUGGGGAAUCUUGCGCAAUGGGCGAAAGCCUGACGCAGCCAUGCCGCGUGGAUGAUGAAGGUCUUAGGAUUGUAAAAUCCUUUCACCGGUGAAGAUAAUGACUGUAGCCGGAGAAGAAGCCCCGGCUAACUUCGUGCCAGCCGCCGCCGUAAUAC